AUUGAACGCUGGCGGCAUGCUUUACACAUGCAAGUCGAACGGUAACACGCCGCACGGUUCUGCCGAGUGGCGCACGGGUGAGUAAUGCAUCGGAACGUGCCCUGCCCUGGCGUAUACCUCCUGCAAACCGCAUCAAAUACCGCAUACGACCUAUUGUUCCCAGCGGGGGGCCGUAAGGCCUCGCGCGAUUUGUCGUGCCGGUGUCGGAUUAUGUGGUUGGUGGGGUACUGGUUGACCAAGACAACGCUCUGUAGCUGGUCUGAGAGGAGGACCAGCGACAAUAGGACGGAGACACGACCGAGACUACUACGGGAGGCAGCAGUGGGGAAUAUUGGAGAAUGGGCGCAAGCCUGAUCCAGCAAUGCCGCGUGGAGGAAGAAGGCCUUCGGGUUGUAAAGUGCUUUUGUACGGAACGAAACGGCGCUGGUUAAUACCCGGGGGUAAUGACGGUACCGUAAGAAUAAGCACCGGCUAACUACGUG
rnacentral:rRNA from 1 species